UACGAAGGGGGCUAGCGUUGUUCGGAAUUACUGGGCGUAAAGGGCGCGUAGGCGGCGCUUCAAGUCAGGCGUGAAAGCCCCGGGCUUAACCUGGGAAUUGCGCUUGAGACUGGAGUGCUUGAGUUCCGGAGAGGUGGGUGGAAUUCCCAGUGUAGAGGUGAAAUUCGUAGAUAUUGGGAAGAACACCGGUGGCGAAGGCGGCCCACUGGACGGACACUGACGCUGAGGCGCGAAAGCGUGGGGAGCAAAC
rnacentral:rRNA from 1 species